rnacentral:rRNA from 1 species
GACGAACGCUGGCGGCGUGCUUAACACAUGCCAGUCGAACGGAAAGGCCCUGCUUUUGUGCGGUGCUCGAGUGGCGAACGGGUGAGUAACACGUGAGUAACCUGCCCUUGACUUUGGGAUAACUUCAGGAAACUGGGGCUAAUACCGGAUAGGAGCUCCUGCUGCAUGGUGGGGGUUGGAAAGUUUCGGCGGUUGGGGAUGGACUCGCGGCUUAUCAGCUUGUUGGUGGGGUAGUGGCUUACCAAGGCUUUGACGGGUAGCCGGCCUGAGAGGGUGACCGGCCACAUUGGGACUGAGAUACGGCCCAGACUCCUACGGGAGGCAGCAGUGGGGAAUAUUGCACAAUGGGCGGAAGCCUGAUGCAGCAACGCCGCGUGCGGGAUGACGGCCUUCGGGUUGUAAACCGCUUUCGCCUGUGACGAAGCGUGAGUGACGGUAAUGGGUAAAGAAGCACCGGCUAACUACGUG